rnacentral:miRNA from 1 species
AAGUGCGCCUUCCUGAGUAGA